AGCGAACGCUGGCGGCAGGCUUAACACAUGCUAGUCGAGCGGGCCUUUCGGGGUCAGCGGCGGACGGGUGAGUAACGCGUGGGAACGUGCCCUCUGGUUCGGAAUAACUCAGGGAAACUUGAGCUAAUACCGGAUACGCCCUUUUGGGGAAAGGCUUGCUGCCGGAGGAUCGGCCCGCGUCUGAUUAGCUAGUUGGUGAGGUAACGGCUCACCAAGGCGACGAUCAGUAGCUGGUCUGAGAGGAUGAUCAGCCACACUGGGACUGAGACACGGCCCAGACUCCUACGGGAAGCAGCAGUGGGGAAUAUUGGACAAUGGGCGCAAGCCUGAUCCAGCCAUGCCGCGUGAGUGAUGAAGGCCUUAGGGUUGUAAAGCUCUUUUAUCCGGGACGAUAAUGACGGUACCGGAGGAAUAAGCCCCGGCUAACUUCGUG
rnacentral:rRNA from 1 species